GACGAACGCUGGCGGCGUGCCUAAUACAUGCAAGUAGAACGCUGAAGAGAGGAGCUUGCUCUUCUUGGAUGAGUUGCGAACGGGUGAGUAACGCGUAGGUAACCUGCCUUGUAGCGGGGGAUAACUAUUGGAAACGAUAGCUAAUACCGCAUAACAAUGGAUGACACAUGUCAUUUAUUUGAAAGGGGCAAUUGCUCCACUACAAGAUGGACCUGCGUUGUAUUAGCUAGUAGGUGAGGUAAUGGCUCACCUAGGCGACGAUACAUAGCCGACCUGAGAGGGUGAUCGGCCACACUGGGACUGAGACACGGCCCAGACUACUACGGGAGGCAGCAGUAGGGAAUCUUCGGCAAUGGGGGCAACCCUGACCGAGCAACGCCGCGUGAGUGAAGAAGGUUGUCGGAUCGUAAAGCUCUGUUGUAAGUCAAGAACGGGUGUGAGAGUGGAAAGUUCACACUGUGACGGUAGCUUACCAGAAAGGGACGGCUAACUACGUG
rnacentral:rRNA from 1 species